rnacentral:rRNA from 1 species
GACGUAGGGCGCGAGCGUUGUCCGGAUUUAUUGGGCGUAAAGAGCUCGUAGGCGGCUUGUCGCGUCGACUGUGAAAACCCGCGGCUCAACUGCGGGCUUGCAGCCGAUACGGGCAGGCUAGAGUUCGGUAGGGGAGACUGGAAUUCCUGGUGUAGCAGUGAAAUGCGCAGAUAUCAGGAGGAACACCGGUGGCGAAGGCGGCAUCCUGGACCAACACUGACACUGAUGAGCGAAAGCCAGGGGAGCAAACGGG